UUGAUCCUGGCUCAGAUUGAACGCUGGCGGCAUGCCUAACACAUGCAAGUCGCACGCGAAAGGGGGCAACCCCGAGUAGAGUGGCGGACGGGUGCGUAACGCGUAGGAAUAUACCUGGUAGUGGGGGACAACCCGGCGAAAGCCGGGCUAAUACCGCAUACGAUCUACGGAUGAAAGCAGGGGACCGCAAGGCCUUGCGCUAUCAGAUUAGCCUGCGUCGGAUUAGCUAGUUGGUGAGGUAACGGCUCACCAAGGCAACGAUCCGUAGCUGGUUUGAGAGAACGACCAGCCACACUGGGACUGAGACACGGCCCAGACUCCUACGGGAGGCAGCAGUGCCGAAUAUUGGACAAUGGGGGCAACCCUGAUCCAGCAAUGCGCGCUGUGUGAAGAAGGCCUUCGGGUUGUAAAGCACUUUCGAUGGGGAUUCACAAGCCAGACCUAACACGUCUGGCCCUGAUGGUACCCAGAGAAGAAGCACCGGCUAACUCUGUGCCAGCAGCCGCGGUAAUACAGAGGGUGCGAGCGUUAAUCGGAAUUACUGGGCGUAAAGGGUGCGUAGGUGGUUUGUUAAGUCAGGCGUGAAAUGGGCCCCUUCAACCUGGGAACUGCGUGGGAUACUGGCAGACUCGAGUCUGGUAGAGGGUAGUGGAAUUCCGCAUGUAGCGGUGAAAUGCGUAGAUAUGCGGAGGAACAUCAGUGGCGAAGGCGGCUACCUGGACCAAGACUGACACUGAGGCACGAAAGCGUGGGGAUCACAGGAAAUUAGAUACCCUGGUAGUCCACGCCCUAAACGAUGGGUACUAGACGUUGGGAGGUUUAUCCUCUUGGUGUCGCAGCUAACGCAAUAAGUACCCCGCCUGGGGAGUACGGUCGCAAGAUUAAAACU
rnacentral:rRNA from 1 species